rnacentral:other from 1 species
GUCAGCCUGAAAUGUCCGGAUAACCUAUAAUUUUGAACCUGCUAACGUGACAUAGGGAGUCCGGUGUUUGGAAGCAGAUGCCAGGCCACAACCUAAUUCCGACACACGUUGUGUGCGGCGGUGGUAGGCAGAAGCUUUCAACAGGACACCCACCUGGCCUUGGGCUAGGUGUCAAAAUAUAGGGAAACGGCUUUUCGGGUUCAGU